AGCGAACGCUGGCGGCAGGCCUAACACAUGCAAGUCGAACGAACCUUUCGGGGUUAGUGGCGGACGGGUGAGUAACACGUGGGAACGUGCCUUUAGGUUCGGAAUAACUCAGGGAAACUUGUGCUAAUACCGAAUGUGCCCUUCGGGGGAAAGAUUAAUCGCCUUUAGAGCGGCCCGCGUCUGAUUCGCUAGUUGGUUGAGGUAAUGGCUCACCAAGGCGACGAUCAGUAGCUGGUCUGAGAGGAUGAUCAGCCACAUUGGGACUGAGACACGGCCCAAACUCCUACGGGAGGCAGCAGUGGGGAAUCUUGCGCAAUGGGCGAAAGCCUGACGCAGCCAUGCCGCGUGAAUGAUGAAGGUCUUAGGAUUGUAAAAUUCUUUCACCGGGGACGAUAAUGACGGUACCCGGAGAAGAAGCCCCGGCUAACUUCGUG
rnacentral:rRNA from 1 species